UCACACUUCAUACUUCUGAGCUCGGUAUCUGCCACUAAUGUUAUCACGAUGAUCUCCCACACUCAGCUUCUCUGGAUCCUUGUGCUCUGCAUUCAAGACUCCAGUGGGCAGGUCAUAAUGACUCAGACUCCAGAAUCCCUGGCAGUGUCUCCAGGAGACACAGUCUUCAUCGACUGCAAAGCCAGUUCCAAUAUUUAUGGCUACAUAGCCUGGUACCAACAGAAAUCAGGACAAGCUCCUAAGCUCCUUAUCUACGACGCGUCCACCCGUCCCUCUGGGAUCUCAGACCGGUUCAGUGGCAGUAGGUCUGACACUGACUACACAUUCACCAUCAGCAGGGUUGAAGCUGAUGAUGCUGGAGAUUAUUACUGCCAGCAGCAUCACAGAAUCCCUCUCACACAGUGAUACAGACCAGCACAAAAACCUCCCUGCUCUGUUUAGUUUCAGACUCUCACGCAGUAUUUCAGCUGCUUCCUGUGCCACUUCCUAGCACUGGUGUUUCUGCUG